GGCUCACCAAGGCGACGAUGCGUAGCCGACCUGAGAGGGUGAUCGGCCACACUGGGACUGAGACACGGCCCAGACUCCUACGGGAGGCAGCAGUAGGGAAUCUUCCGCAAUGGACGAAAGUCUGACGGAGCAACGCCGCGUGAGUGAUGAAGGUUUUCGGAUCGUAAAACUCUGUUGUUAGGGAAGAACAAGUUGGGUAGUAACUGACCCAACCUUGACGGUACCUAACCAGAAAGCCACGGCUAACUACGUGCCAGCAGCCGCGGUAAUACGUAGGUGGCAAGCGUUGUCCGGAAUUAUUGGGCGUAAAGCGCUCGCAGGCGGUCUUUUAAGUCUGAUGUGAAAGCCCACGGCUUAACCGUGGAGGGUCAUUGGAAACUGGAGGACUUGAGUACAGAAGAGGAGAGUGGAAUUCCACGUGUAGCGGUGAAAUGCGUAGAGAUGUGGAGGAACACCAGUGGCGAAGGCGACUCUCUGGUCUGUAACUGACGCUGAGGAGCGAAAGCGUGGGUAGCGAACAGGAUUAGAUACCCUGGUAGUCCACGCCGUAAACGAUGAGUGCUAGGUGUUAGGGGGUUUCCGCCCCUUAGUGCUGAAGUUAACGCAUUAAGCACUCCG
rnacentral:rRNA from 1 species